GGNNGGGGUCUCGCACGUGAAGAAGGUGCCGCCUCCGGAUAGGGAGAUCCCGGGAGCAGGCACUGGCCGGGUACACGCUUGGCCCCGGGGUAGGCACCCUGGCCGCCGUCCCUUCCAGCACCCCCAAGAGCGGAGUACAGGCCCAGGAUUCCGUGGACAAGCGCCGAUGAACCAGCAGGGGAACGCGUCCGCACGCCGCGGCUGCAGUUUCUACGCAGACUGUUGGACGAAGAAGAAGAGACAGAAUUUGAGAAAACGGACGGGUUAUCCCCACACUGGGGUGUGGGUGAUAAUGUUUAGCUUUGACAGUGGAAUAAAGAAGUUUGCAGAAAUGUAUUGGGGUUAAAGGAAGAGGGCGGACAGGAUGCAGACUGGAGGAGGCAGCUGAGGUCCCUGCAGGCAUAACCCCAGCGGGCUCUCCAAGGCCACUUGCAGAAGCCGGCACCAGACAAGGGCUUUUAGCUCAUUGAGGACCUCGAGUCCUCUGUCAGGUAAGGUCAGAACAUCUAAGCUUCCCACUGCAGAUGCCGCAGAUGCCGCACAUGCCUCGCCAGGGAUGUAGCCGUGGGGAAGUGGCACCAGUCCACCCCAUCACCACCGAAGCUGGACCCAGCUCUCCAGGGCCCACCGCCAUGGUAGACCCUUCCAACUGCCGUGGCCUCUCAGGCUUAGACAUGUGAAGCUGGCUUCAACCCACCGUCUCCCUCGUCCCUUAGGCAGCCCCCACCCUGCCUACCCCCACCACAGGCCUGGCUCACUGCAGUCAAGAAGGGGCUGGUCACAGAGGUUGGGGUCCAACAAACAGUAAGAAGACAUUGAUGAGGGGGCACCUGGGUGGCUCAGUCGUUAAGAGUCUGCCUUCAGCUCAGGUCAUGAUCCCAGAGUCCUGGGAGCCAGGCAUUGGGCUCCCCGCUCAGCAGGAAGCCUGCUUCUCCCUCUCCCAC